AGAGUUUGAUCAUGGCUCAGAUUGAACGCUGGCGGCAGGCCUAACACAUGCAAGUCGAGCGGAUGAAGAGAGCUUGCUCUCUGAUUCAGCGGCGGACGGGUGAGUAAUGCCUAGGAAUCUGCCUGGUAGUGGGGGACAACGUUUCGAAAGGAACGCUAAUACCGCAUACGUCCUACGGGAGAAAGCAGGGGACCUUCGGGCCUUGCGCUAUCAGAUGAGCCUAGGUCGGAUUAGCUAGUUGGUGAGGUAAAGGCUCACCAAGGCGACGAUCCGUAACUGGUCUGAGAGGAUGAUCAGUCACACUGGAACUGAGACACGGUCCAGACUCCUACGGGAGGCAGCAGUGGGGAAUAUUGGACAAUGGGCGAAAGCCUGAUCCAGCCAUGCCGCGUGUGUGAAGAAGGUCUUCGGAUUGUAAAGCACUUUAAGUUGGGAGGAAGGGCAGUAAGCUAAUACCUUGCUGUUUUGACGUUACCGACAGAAUAAGCACCGGCUAACUUCGUGCCAGCAGCCGCGGUAAUACGAAGGGUGCAAGCGUUAAUCGGAAUUACUGGGCGUAAAGCGCGCGUAGGUGGUUCGUUAAGUUGGAUGUGAAAGCCCCGGGCUCAACCUGGGAACUGCAUCCAAAACUGGCGAGCUAGAGUAUGGCAGAGGGUGGUGGAAUUUCCUGUGUAGCGGUGAAAUGCGUAGAUAUAGGAAGGAACACCAGUGGCGAAGCGACCACCUGGGCUAAUACUG
rnacentral:rRNA from 1 species